UACGGGGGGGGCAAGCGUUGUUCGGAAUUACUGGGCGUAAAGGGCUCGUAGGCGGCCAACUAAGUCAGACGUGAAAUCCCCAGGCUCAACCUGGGAACUGCGUCUGAUACUGGAUGGCUUGAAUCCGGGAGAGGGAUGCAGAAUUCCAGGUGUAGCGGUGAAAUGCGUAGAUAUCUGGAGGAACACCGGUGGCGAAGGCGGCAUCCUGGACCGGUAUUGACGCUGAGGUGCGAAAGCUAGGGGAGCAAACGGG
rnacentral:rRNA from 1 species